GGUAAAACAAAAGCUUGAAGGGUAAAAUUGAAUGAAAAAACCAGAUAUAUGGUUGCCCUAGAAUACUCAUAUAAAGGGCUCAUUUCACUCACUUUGAGAGCAGAGAAAAACAUAGAAAAAAGAAGAAAAAGACUGCAUACAUAGAAAUAGAAGUUUUCAUAAAAAACAAAGAAAAUGGUUGGAUUUCAGUUCUGAUAUCGAAUUUUUCACUUCAUUUCUUUCUGGAUUUCUGGAUUUGUCAUUUGUUGUGUAGCUGGGAUAUUGAAGCUGUUUUCCUGGUAUUUCUACCGUUUAGACUUGUUGAAUCUCUCCAUUUUUGGCCUUUUUAGCCUUUAUUUGGCAAAAUCCAGUUUUUGUUUACAAAUCUAGGUGCACCUCUCACUCUUGUACUUCUAUUUUCAAUUUGAGAUGAAAUGUUUGGUUGUUCUUUGUUUGUCUGUUGAGGUGGUGUAAAUUAUUGCUUAUCUUGUCUUGAAUCUUGAAUUAAUGUGAGCUUAAUAUGUUUAAGGAUGGAAACUUGCUUUUAGAUUUGCCUUUGAAAAAGCAACUACAGGUAACUCUAUGGCCAUAACAUUAAUUGAUUUCCCACAUUAAUUUAGACUUCAACAUGUGUAUCCUUCUAACAAAUACUCGUUGCUUAUAUUUGAACAUUAUAAAAAAUCUAAAUCUGUUUCAUAGCUUCUUGAUAAGUUGAGGUUCAGUGGAUCAUUUGCAGGUCAGUACUUGUGGAUCUAGCCACUCGUUGGUUCGAUUUGCAGUUCAAGGCAUGAGCAAAGUUACACCUCUAUCACAUUUUCGUGGUUUGGGUCUGUUAUACUUUAAAUAUUAUCUAGGAUUUGAUCAUGUGAAGCUUGGGCAUUCUAUAAUGAAGGAUGGGCGUGUGAUUUUGAGCCUAUAGUUGUGUAUUUUAUAAAUGGCAGUAUAUGUGUUUAGAUGUCCAUUCAAAAAACUUAUUUGUACAGUUAUUCACCUAUUGUAUUAAAGUUAUUGUACUAUUUAGUCUUGUCUUCUACUAAUAAUUUAGAUGUUGUAACAGCCAAGGCAAAAAAAUUAGGAGUUAGAAGCAUUAGUCAAGUCUGCUUGAUUGCUCUUUCUAAUAUAAAGUGUGUGUUUGUGUUAAAUAGCAUAGGUGUUAGUGUCCUGACUUGAUGCCAUUUUGAUAUUUCUGUAAAAAUCAAUUAUGCUCCCUCGGGAAUUGGAUCAGAGGGUUUCGUUUGAAGCCUUGCAUUUUUGGGGUUAGUGUAUGCUACUAGUUUGAAGUAGUGAAAAACAAAAGGCAUUUUUUUAACUUGAAAGGGCAGAUCUUGAGUGGUUUCAUGGAUUCGUAAAGUAAGCCUUGUAUGACGUUUAGCCCAACAACAUACGGAGUUAAUUGACUUUCAUAUCUCAUGGUUUCGCAAUAAUCUUAGAUUAAUUUUAGGAAAAUCAUGAACAUCGUAGUUUGUUUUAGAUGCGAUUUAAUCUAUCAUCGUGGUUGUCUCCAUGUUCGCGUGACAUAAUUACGAUCCUAAAAACAAAAUUGGAG
rnacentral:lncRNA from 1 species